rnacentral:rRNA from 1 species
GACGAACGCUGGCGGCGUGCCUAAUACAUGCAAGUCGAACGCAGUUGCGAACGGGUGAGUAACGCGUAGGUGACUGCCUCAUAGCGGGGGAUCACUAUUGGAAACGAUAGCUAAUACCCCAUACUGUGAGAGGGACCUGCGUUGGAUUAGGUAGUUGGUGAGGUAAAGGCCCACCAAGGCGACGAUACAUAGCCGGCCUGGGAGGGGGAACGGGCAAACCUGGACUGGGGCAACGGCCAGAAUCCUACCGGGAGGAACAAGAGGGAAACUUCGGAAAAGGAGCGAAGUCUGACCGAGCAACGCCGCGUGGUUGAAGAAGGUUUUCGGGUCGUAAAGGUCUGUUGUUAGGGAAGCGUUAACUAACCAGAAAGGGACGGCUAACUACGUGCCAGCAGCCGCGGUAAUUC